CUUUAUCAGCUGACUGGACGACGGGAGGUGGAACACGUCUUAUAUAAGGAGCACACGGAUGUACGAGUGGCAUCGGAGUGAAUUCAUCACCGUAUACCUGACUAUUUCUAACGUCACUCGUCAGUUUGAAGUUGUGGAGCCAUGAAACUGCUGGUCCUUGUCCUUUGCUGCCUGGCAUUAAGCCAAGCCUUCCCUGCCAUGAAGGAUGGCGAUCGAGUCAAACGCUCUGGCAGUAGAGAGAGAUAUUUCAACCCUACAUAUCAAUAUGGAUAUGGAUAUGCACCCUAUCAGGCACAAAAUGACAUCUUUACGCAACUUCUGCCGCUGCUGAUUGCACGAUUAAUUACUCCCGCACCAGGAAAAUAAUGGUGAACACUUUGGUGAACAUAGUACAGAUGAAAUAUGUUCACCUUGUCAACAUAAUGAAAUAUGAAUAAAUGAAUAAAUAAAUGACUAUAUCA
rnacentral:lncRNA from 1 species